UUCUUCCUUGUCUUGGGGAGCAUAAUAUCCAGUGAAGUUCAACUGAGGGUAUUGAUGCUGGCACCAACAUAAUUUAAAACCACCCCGCUCUGGGUGGCUGCUUUCGAACAGUGACCACCUGGGCGGAAUUUUUGAAGCG